GACCAAUGUCAUAUUAAACCCUAUGAAGAACCCUAGAAUGGUAGGUCACUUAAAGAGGCUCUAAGCAGAUAUCCAUGUUUUGUUUCUAAAUACAUUAAAUAUGUUUCAAGAUAAGUACUGAAAACAUAUGCAAAGACUUAUAACAAUAUAGUGCUGAAUUGUUGAGAUAUACAGUAGCUUCAGCAUCUUUUACACUGUUUGAAUUAUUCCUGAUUUUGUGGGUGGGGCUAAAACACAGCCCCAUGACAUGACGGGGCUGGGGCGUAUACUUUCUAGCGCGAGUUCCCUCCCCCACUAUAUAAGGACAAAGUGCCAUUGUUUCGUUUGGCUGUGUCUUUGCUGGAUGCCUCAAUUUACAGAACCGGAAGUUUUUUAAGGUCCCAAAAAAUGAGGAAAUAAAAAGAGCGGUAACUUGAUACGAGUGAACGAGGCAGUGCCGACUCUCUAUCCACCUAGGCUUCCUCCUACUGUCCCGCUGUCGUCAGGUGCCGUGUUCGGCUGUGACAUUAUGUCACCAACAACGAGGAGAAUCAGGACAGGACAACACAUCCAUCCAUUUUCAACACCACUUAUUCUGUUCAGGCAAACUUCGGGCGAAAGGCGGACUACACCCUGAACCAGUCACCAGUCAGUCGCAGGGCACAUAUACACGCGGACAACCAUUCACACUCACACCGUCACUGAGUGGGAAUUGAAUCCACGCUGCCCGCACCAAAGUCUGGCGAGUGUACCAGUACACCAUCGGUAACUCCAGGACAACGCAUUAGCAGCAAAUCAUUCGUGGAGCCAACAAGAUCAAAUAUAAUGAUGCCAUGGACGGAGAAUAUCUUGCUUCUCCAAAUCUGUUUCCAUUGUUGUUGUUAUCUUUAUUGCUACUUCAUUCGUGAUCCUCCAUGUCACUGCUCUCCCUGUUUUUUCCCACCUUGCAAGACCCCAACAUUUUAAAUCGACUCAAGAGCUCA